rnacentral:lncRNA from 1 species
UUUUUUCUGGCUCAACUUUUUCUCAUAGCCAGGUCUAUGGCUAUUCUUGAGGUCAAACAAAUCCAUCAAAAAUGAAAAGUUGUCACUGAGGCAUGAUGUUCUAAUGAAAACGUACUAGUUUUUGAUCACACUUCUCAAAGUGCUUAAUGGAAUUUUUAAUUUCUGUUUAGUCUUUUGAGAGUAAGAAUAUAAUGCAGAUCCAUAUUACCAAAAACAAAAUGAGGCAUAGUAUUCAUUAUUGUAAGGUGUAAUGAUUUUACAUUAGGAUAAUUACUUGUUCCAUUUGUCAAAUUAUAAAAUUAGGAUUCUGGUUUUUUACUAACCUCUAGAAUGAAUACUUUGAUUUUUUAAAAUAGCUCUCAUUAAAAGAUUCGAAAUAUGUAUUAAAAUUUUCUAUUUGGUUAUUUUGGGGACACAGAUUUGAAAUAUGGGACCUUAAAAGUUUCUGCCUAAGGUUAGAAUAUGUAAAAUUAAAGUGGUAGGUAAAUUUUAAAACUACAUUUUUAUCAGAAUUUUAUUAGAAGAAUAUGUUUAUAAAUAUAGAAUUAGGAAAAGUCAAGUAAUCUAUGCUUUACAUUUUAACAAAUGAUAUAGACUCUAAUGAUUUUGAACAUAAAUCAUUUUGUGUAAUUCUUAAAGUUUAAUCAAAUCAUUUGCAUUAUCAUUAACAUUGUUCAGUAAGUAUGAUGUCUCAGUUAUGACUUUUGGUUUCUUCUGUAUUAAUAGGAUAAAACUGUCCUCUUGACAGUUGUUUCAUGUAAAUAUAGGCAAUAAAGCUCCUAAAAA